GUUAAACCUUUAUGCAUUUCUAAUAUAAGUUUGUCCUUUAAGAGAGAGCAUCAGGUCCUGGUGCAUCGCCUUGAAAUUCUUCCAUGCCUGAGACAGUUUGUUACAGCAUUCCAAGCCUAAUGCUGCUGGCAAUUGCUCCUCUCCAGAUGAGACAGGUAUUUCAGAGAAGGGAUGGAGUCCCUGAGGUUUCUGAGAAGAGGGAAGAGCACUGCAGGAUCCUGCUAGCUGUAAUUUAAGGAUGACACCAACACAUGUGAAUCUUGAAUUUAUAUGCAGGUUUGGCACCUGAGUCAUGGAAAUGGGUGAUCAGCUGAUGGUGGGAUUAAAUGGAUCCUUACCCCUAGAGUGUGAAGAUCUUGCUACCAUGUCUUCUACUGCAGAGGUACAGCAUGUAUGUCCAGCACAUACCUCAGGCUUGUUUUUCUUUCCUUCACUGCCAAAUCACAUGGAAAAAAGUCCUCACUGAGUUUGCUAAACUAUCCAGAGAUUUUUAUGGAAGAGGAGGGGUCAUGAAAAACUCAUUAAAAACCUCAGGUUUCAGGAUCUUAAGAAGUUAGAAAGACCAAAGACUGUUAUAUGAAGACUUCAUAUAACAUUUUGAAUCUCACAGUAAGCAUCUUACUCUGUUCCCUAUAAAUCAACUGUUCAAAAGUAUAUCUG
rnacentral:lncRNA from 14 species